rnacentral:lncRNA from 1 species
CAAGUUUGGAAUUUGAUCCUUUGAAUACAUUUGCUUUUUUUAGAAAUACAACAACCUUCUUCUACAUAAUUGGAACUUAAUUACUAAUACAAAAAGACAUAUAGUAUCUUUAUGCCUAACAUGUUUGUUUUGGCUAUUAAAUAAGACUAAUUUACAAAAACUAUGCAGCACUCGAGUUUUUCUUUGCUAAUCAAUCAUAAAUUUUUAUUUUUAUGACACACUGUGGGACCCCCUUCCGCUAUACCCUCCCUCACAUACAAACCUAAAAGAGUUUUGGAUUUUCGGUUGGGCCCAUGCCUCCACCGUGAGCCCUUAUUUCGAUAACUCAGCUUCUCACACCCGGCCUAUCGUGUCAUCAUGAACCGGUAUCAAAAAACUAAACCCGGUUCGCUCUUCGACACGUAAAGCACUUCGCCACUGCUAUUUUCUCAGAAUUCACCACGCAGGGUGUACACGUGGCGGUUCGGUCCAAGUCAUCACACUUUCAUUCUCACUGGCUUUAAAUAGUUCAUACUUAUUGAUCCCCACAUUAUCCUCUCACUUUGCAAGUUGCAACCUGCUAUGCACGAAAACCAUCACCUCACGCAACCAAACAAACAUUUUCUAUUUUAAAUCCUAACUGACUUUGUAUCCGGUGAAAUACUCGUCGGAAAUUGAUCGGCGCGCCGGAUUGUAUGGAGGCUCCGGCGAUCGUUGCUGAUCUUGGAAUCCUAUUGAGGUUAUCGUGCCGUAGCUUGUUUGGGAAAUGGAAUCGUGUAUGGUCGUAGAAAUUAGAAACCCUAAACAAAAGCGACUUUACUUAGCAGAGUUUUCAAGUUAUUCCAUGCUUCCUUCCGCAGGCACGAGGCAGAUUAUGACUAUAUAAAUAUAUUAGGAGAUUAAAAAAUCAAAAAGACUUGCCGUAGUUUCAGAGUCUUCGAUUUUUUGUGGAACUUCAUUGAUUUUCUAUUCUAUUUUUUAUUUGCUUUUUUUUUUGGUUUCUCCGUUCUCAAAUUUUGAAAUCGUAUGCGGAGAAUCGAUAAAGAAGGUUUUGCAGAACUUUUAGAGGUUCAAUUUGCUUUACACAGUUCUGUUUUGCGAGUCCAAUUUUAAAAUCAAACUCGAGAUUCGGAAACUGUAGAAGAUGAAACACUAAAAAACUGUUAGAUUGUCUUGUUGAGCUAUCAUCAUUUUCGUCAUGCCUUUUCCGAUGAAAAUUCAGCCGAUCGAUUUUCAGUUACCGGCGGAAGGGACUAGGCUUGAGCUGGCCAAGCCUGUCGUUAAGUCACGAUUGAAGCGGCUCCUUGAGCGCCAGUUCUCCGGCGUACUGAGAAAUCCUGCGGUGGAGAAAGUUUCCGGCGCCAUCGAGGAACAGAAUUUGUGCAAGGACGGCAUCAACUACUCACAUGAUUUUGAGCCGAGUACGGUGUGCUUGACGAACAUGGUGCAUAAUUUCAUAGAGGAGAAUCCUGAGAAGCACUCUGUUUCCGUUAGGUGCGGACGUAACCGCUGUAACUGCUUCAAUAGGAACUCUGACGAUAACUCUGACAACGACUCAGACGAUUUCAGCGACUCUAACUAUUCUCCCAGUGAAGCGUGUGAAAUCCUCAAGGUAAAUAGCGCUUCAACUAGAUUGUAAUUGAAACCGUUUAAAAAAAGAGAAGGAAUGAUUCUGAAACGCGUUUUUUAAAUAAUUUUGAACAGGGUAUGGUAGCUUGUGCAAGUGUUUUUGAGAGGAACUUGCUAGCGGACACUACAAAGAUAGUUGAUAAUAAUAACAAGAUCUGCAAGCGCAAAGAUAGUUACUGCAGAAAGAUUGUUACUGAAUGUUUGUUAUCUCUCGGAUAUGAUGCUUCCAUUUGCAAAUCUUGCUGGGAAAAAUCCCCUUCCUGCCCCUCCGGUAAUUUCUCUCUAACAAAUUCUCUUUGUUGUUUGAGCUUGAUUUGAUUAGAAUUCAUGUUUUCUUAAUCAUGUAUAUGUGUGUGUGAUUUUGUGUAGGGGAAUAUGAAUAUAUUGAUGUGAUAUUAGGGAAAGAGCGGGUGCUAAUUGACAUUGACUUUAAAUCUGAAUUUGAGAUCGCUAGAUCAACCAAGACAUACAAGACGAUUCUCCAGAAUCUUCCAUACAUAUUUGUAGGCAAGUGUGAUAGGUUGCAGAACAUUGUGGCUAUUGUAUCCGAGGCAGUGAAGCAGAGUUUGAAGAAGAAAGGGAUGCAUGUUCCACCGUGGAGGAGGGCUGAAUACGUUAGAGCUAAAUGGCUUUCUCCUUAUACGCGCGCUACGCCACCAAAGAUGGAGAAUCUGCAGCUAUUGAAGGGAAGUAACUGUGUUGAGUCUCAAGUUUGUAAGAGUUCAGCUGAAGAGGAGAAGGCGGAGGUGAAGGCGGUGGUAGAAUGGAAGCCACCGGAGGUCAAGGCCAAGGGUUCACUAUCUGGAGUUAAGGUUGUAACUGGUUUUGCAGCAGUUUUUGAUAAAGAUAAUGAAUAACCCAUACAAUUUUGACAUUUUCCUUUUGUUUUUGUUUUGUUUUCCGGUAAGAGGCGUUUUCCCUUUAAUUUGCCAAAGUGAGGGUUCAAAAUAUGAUAUAUAACUAUAAUAGCUCUGUGACUCUUACCUAUCUCCCCCUUGGUUUUUUUAGGUGCGGGGUGUAUUUUACUAAUAUGAAUAAAGUUUAAGUAUAGUUUAGUUUAUUUAUUGGAGCCAAGUUUGGAAUUUGAUCCUUUGAAUACAUUUGCUUUUUUUAGAAAUACAACAACCUUCUUCUACAUAAUUGGAACUUAAUUACUAAUACAAAAAGACAUAUAGUAUCUUUAUGCCUAACAUGUUUGUUUUGGCUAUUAAAUAAGACUAAUUUACAAAAACUAUGCAGCACUCGAGUUUUUCUUUGCCUUAUUUAGCACAAUAACAACAAUCCGAAGCUGUAAAGUCUCCUCUGCUAUCGUUCUUCCUCACUAACAGCACUCCGCUGCUCUUUCUUCUUAUUACGGCUGUACAUAAAUAAUGCUUGUUUCUUGGUUGGAUUUUCAAAGACGUUGUGGGUUAUGAAAACGUUACUAGAGGGAGUUUUUGUGAGGAGGUAUAUUUCAGAGAAAAUAUGCAAGAACGUUUGGUUGGCAGGAAUGGUUGAAUUAUGAAUAAACUGCUAGUUUUAUAAAUUGCCUUAUGCCCACUAUGACCAUAGAGAAAUACAGGAUAUGACUCAGAAUCAUACGCAUAAAGCAUGUAAUUGUCGCAAAUAAAGCACUACCAUCACCAACAAUAUCUAAACUAUAGUAGGAUUUGCUAUGAUAAGCUGAUUAUGAAUUCUGCAUAUACCAAUAUAUACAUGGCACCCUGCAUCUGUU